AACCUGCCCAAGAGACUGGGAUAACACCUGGAAACAGAUGCUAAUACCGGAUAACAACACUAGACGCAUGUCUAGAGUUUAAAAGAUGGUUCUGCUAUCACUCUUGGAUGGACCUGCGGUGCAUUAGCUAGUUGGUAAGGCAACGGCUUACCAAGGCAAUGAUGCAUAGCCGAGUUGAGAGACUGAUCGGCCACAUUGGGACUGAGACACGGCCCAAACUCCUACGGGAGGCAGCAGUC
rnacentral:rRNA from 1 species